UUAGUUUUUGGACAGACGUCAAGAUUCUGCCCUUGGUGUUUCUAUCACACAAUGCCUGAAGACAUAUUAGACAUGCUUCUAUUUGAUCUCCCUUCUAAAUCCCGUAAUUUUUCCAACUCUCGCUUAGGUGUUCCCUGGGCCAGGACCAAAAUCUGUGGAAUAGCAGCUUUGCCAAAGGACCUGAGUGAAAAGAGAAUGUAGUGUGUGCAGCGACCUGCCGGAGGAUCUGAAGCACAUCUUCCUUUAUUUCUCCAGCCUGGCCGCUUUCAGACAGAGGCUAAGAGACUUGUAAAAAAAAACAAUGCCGAUGGCACUUUAAGACUGUUGUAGAUUGGAACUGAGCCACAUUUUUUGGCCUGUCUGCAAAUUCCAGUACGCAAAACAUUGGACUCAUAAAAAUUGCCCUUGCAUUUGGCAGACACGCCACUUUCAUCAGGAGGAACUACGCUUCGUACCAAGGAAAAAGACUUGGAAUUCGGUUGCUAUUCGCUAACUGCUGUAUUCAGCCAACAAAGACUCUAUGGAGAACUUGCUUUUCUCUAACGUGGACAUUUGUAAGAUGGCUCAAGGAGAUCGAGGUUUCCGAGUGUUAACACGUGUGGGAGCGACUGCUGUGACCCUCCACCCGGACCUAAAAACCGCUUUGGGGAUCUCGAAACAAGUCGGUCAACUCAGACAGAAGGGCGGAGUUUCACACACAGUUCCCUGUUCUGAACAGCCUGUACCACUGAGAUAUCUGACAGUGUGACAAUUAGUAACGUCCUUAAAUGUCUGCGAUUUCUUCUCUUAUAUAACAUGUCUGUUGUUUGAUUCGAAAAAUAUGGCCAUUAUAUAUGAAUAUAUAUAUAUAUAUAUUUUUUUACAACUUUCCCUUCCAAGUCUAAAAACAUUGUAGAUAGCAGGUCAUUUAUUUUGUCCACUAGCCUAAUAAUAAUAGGAUGGUUACAAAAAUGGAUGAAUGACAUGAAAGCCUCAGUUGUGUUGUGAAGAAAUGAAUUCAUACCCACACAGGACAGGCUAUGAAUGAUUAUGUUUUUGCUUUACAACAUAAGACACUGUAACUUCAUCUCUCAUAAUGGUGAACAGUGCCAUCUAGGGACUCUCUCAUUAAAGUAAUAAAAUACCA